AAAUUAGGAAAGAAAGAAGGGCGCAUGGGGGAUGCCUAGGCUCUUGGAGGCGAAGAAGGACGUGAUAAGCUGCGAAAAGUUUUGGGGAGGUGCACAUGACCUAUGAUCCAAAGAUGUCCGAAUGGGGUAACCCGGUAGGUUGAAGACCUAUCACAUCGUAAGAUGAGCGAACUCAGGGAACUGAAACAUCUAAGUACCUGAAGGAAAAGAAAACAACAGUGAUACUGUGAGUAGUGGCGAGCGAAAACAGUGGAGCCCAAACCAACAUUGUUACGGCAGUGUUGGGGUUAAAGGACGGCAAGGAGUAAUUAGGCGAGAAUUAGAAUUUGUUGGGAAACAAAGCCGUAGAGAGUGAAAGCCUCGUAUAAGUAAUCAAAUAAUUACGUGCUGCAUCCUGAGUAUGGGGAAACCGGAGGAAUUUCCCUUGAAGUAGCCAGCACCAUCUGGCAAGGCUAAAUACUACCAAGAGACCGAUAGUGAACCAGUACUGUGAAGGAAAGGUGAAAAGAACCUCAGAUAGAGGAGUGCAAAGAACCUGAAACCGUGCGCUUACAAGCGGUCGGAGCGGAGCGAUUCCGUGACGUCGUGCCUUUUGCAUAAUGAGCCUACGAGUUACGUCUUGCUGGCAAGAUUAAUUACUUGAGGUAAGGAGUCGGAGCGAAAGCGAGUCUGAAAAGGGCGUUAAGUCAGCAGGAGUAGACGCGAAACUUUGUGAUCUACCCUUGGUCAGGAUGAAGUGUGGGUAAAGCCACAUGGAGGUCCGAACUAGUAAACGUUGAAAAGUUUUUGGAUGAACUGAGGGUAGGGGUGAAAGGCUAAUCAAACUGAGAAAUAGCUCGUACUCCCCGAAAUGUUUUUAGGAACAGCCUCUGAUAAUUAUGAUAGAGGUAGAGCUACCAAUAGGACUAGGGGGCUUCACCGCCUACCAAAUCCUGAUGAACUCCGAAUGCUAUCAUAUAGGUCAGGGAGUGAGGGCAUGGGUGCUAAGGUCCGUGUCCGAGAGGGAAAGAACCCAGACCAACCGCUAAGGUCCCUAAAUAUAGACUAAGUUGAACAAAGGCAGUUCAGCUACAGAGACAGCCAGGAUGUUGGCUUGGAAGCAGCCAUACAUUUAAAGAGUGCGUAACAGCUCACUGGUCGAGUGGCAGGGCAUCUAUGAUAAACGGGCAUCAAGUCUAUUACCGAAGCGAUGGGAUUUUAAAUCGGUAGGGGAGCAUUCUAAUAGCGUAGAAUCAGUACUGCGAGGUAUUGUGAAGCGAUUAGAAAAGCAAAUGUAGGCAUAAGUAACGAUAAUGCAGGUGAAAAACCUGCACACCGAAAGACUAAGGUUUCCCUAUUCAACGUUAAUCGGAAGGGGGUUAGUCGGGGGCUAAGGCGAAGCCGGUUGGCGAAGUCGAUGCACAACAGGUUAAUAUUCCUGUACUAGCAUAUUGAUAAAAGUGACGGAGUGACUACUUACUUGCGCACAAACGGUAAGUGCGUUAAAGCUGUAAGGCGAGAGUACACAAAUCCUACGGGUGCUGUGAUAAUAGUAAUAAAGACUUCCAAGAAAAGCGAGAUAUGCUACCCGUACCGCAAACCGACACAGGUAGUCGAGGAGAGAAUCCUAAGGUGCUCGAGUGAAUCAUGGCUAAGGAACUAGGCAAAAUGACCCUGUAACUUCGGGAGAAGGGGAGCCUACUUAGCAAUAAGAGGUCGCAGUGAAAAGGUCCAGGCGACUGUUUAACAAAAACACAUGUCUUUGCGAAAACGAAAGUUGAAGUAUAAGGACUGACACCUGCCCGGUGCUGGAAGGUUAAGGGGGGAUGUUAGGGGCAACCCGAAGCAUUGAACUGAAGCCCCAGUAAACGGCGGCCGUAACUAUAACGGUCCUAAGGUAGCGAAAUUCCUUGUCGGGUAAGUUCCGACCUGCACGAAUGGUGUAACGAUCUGGACGCUGUCUCAGCCAUGAGCUCGGUGAAAUUGAAGUAGCGGUGAAGAUGCCGCUUACCCGCCACGGGACGGAAAGACCCCGUGCACCUUUACUACAAUUUUGCAUUGAUAUUGGAUGAGUGAUGUGUAGGAUAGGCGGGAGACUGCGAACUGGUGGCGCCAGCCAUUAGGGAGUCGACGUUGAAAUACCGCCCUUUGCUUCUCUGGUGUCUAAUCUGGGAACGGAGACAUUGCAUGAUGGGUAGUUUGACUGGGGUGGUCGCCUCCGAAAGGGUAUCGGAGGCUUCCAAAGGUUCGUUCAGCACGCUUGGUAACCGUGCGUAGAGUGCAAUAGCAUAAACGAGCUUGACUGUGAGACUGACAAGUCGAGCAGGUGGGAAACCAGGGUAUAGUGAUCCGGUGGUUCUGUAUGGAAGGGCCAUCGCUCAUAGGAUAAAAGGUACGCCGGGGAUAACAGGCUGAUCUCCCCCAAGAGCUCACAUCGACGGGGAGGUUUGGCACCUCGAUGUCGGCUCGUCACAUCCUGGGGCUGGAGAAGGUCCCAAGGGUUCGGCUGUUCGCCGAUUAAAGUGGCACGCGAGCUGGGUUCAGAACGUCGUGAGACAGUUCGGUCCCUAUCUGUGGUGGGCGUAGGAAGUUUGCGAGGGGCUGACCUUAGUACGAGAGGACCGGGUUGGACGAACCUCUGGUGUAUCAGUUGUACUGCCCAGUGCAUCGCUGAGUAACUAUGUUCGGAAGAGAUAAGCGCUGAAAGCAUCUAAGUGCGAAACUCGCCUCAAGAUGAGACUUCCCAUGAAGGUCGUCAUAGACGAUGACGUAGAUAGGUUGCAGGUGUAAAGACAGUAAUGUCAAAGCCAAGCAAUACUAAUUACCUGAUAGAUUUCCUA
rnacentral:rRNA from 1 species